rnacentral:rRNA from 1 species
GAUGAACGCUGGCGGCGUGCCUAAUACACGCAAGUCGAGCGAACAGAUGAGGAGCUUGCUCCUCUGACGUUAGCGGCGGACAGGUGAGUAACACGUGGAUAACCUACAUAUAAGACUGGGAUAACUUCGGGAAACCGGAGCUAAUACCGGAUAAUAUAUUGAACCGCAUGGUUCAAUAUUGAAAGACGGUUUUGCUGUCACUUAUAGAUGGAUCCGCGCCGCAUUAGCUAGUUGGUAAGGUAACGGCUUACCAAGGCAACGAUGCGUAGCCGACCUGAGAGGUUGAUCGGCCACACUGGAACUGAGACACGGUCCAGACUCCUACGGGAGGCAGCAGUGGGGAAUCUGCCGCAAUGGGCGAAAGCCUGACGGAGCAACGCCGCGUGAGUGAUGAAGGUCUUCGGAUCGUAAAACUCUGUUAUUAGGGAAGAACAAAUGUGUAAGUAACUAUGCACGUCUUGACGAUACCUAAUCAGAAAGCCACGGCUAACUACGUG